rnacentral:rRNA from 1 species
AUUGAACGCUGGCGGCAGGCCUAACACAUGCAAGUCGAACGGUAACAGGAAACAGCUUGCUGUUUCGCUGACGAGUGGCGGACGGGUGAGUAAUGUCUGGGAAACUGCCUGAUGGAGGGGGAUAACUACUGGAAACGGUAGCUAAUACCGCAUAACGUCGCAAGACCAAAGAGGGGGACCCUCGGGCCUCUUGCCAUCGGAUGUGCCCAGAUGGGAUUAGCUUGUUGGUGGGGUAACGGCUCACCAAGGCGACGAUCCCUAGCUGGUCUGAGAGGAUGACCAGCCACACUGGAACUGAGACACGGUCCAGACUCCUACGGGAGGCAGCAGUGGGGAAUAUUGCACAAUGGGCGCAAGCCUGAUGCAGCCAUGCCGCGUGUAUGAAGAAGGCCUUCGGGUUGUAAAGUACUUUCAGCGGGGAGGAAGGGAGUAAAGUUAAUACCUUUGCUCAUUGACGUACCCGCAGAA